rnacentral:rRNA from 1 species
CCGGCGCACGGGUGCGUAACGCGUAUAGAACCUACCUUUUACAGAGGAAUAGCCUUUAGAAAUGAAGAUUAAUGCCUCAUAGUAUUGUAGACUGGCAUCAGUUUAUAAUUAAAGAUUUAUCGGUAAAAGAUGGCUAUGCGUCCUAUUAGUUAGUUGGUAAGGUAACGGCUUACCAAGACAGCGAUAGGUAGGGGUCCUGAGAGGGAGAUCCCCCACACUGGUACUGAGACACGGACCAGACUCCUACGGGAGGCAGCAGUGAGGAAUAUUGGACAAUGGAGGAGACUCUGAUCCAGCCAUGCCGCGUGUAGGAAGAAUGCCCUAUGGGUUGUAAACUACUUUUAUACAGGAAGAAACACUGGUAUGUAUACCAGCUUGACGGUACUGUAAGAAUAAGGACCGGCUAACUCCGUGCCAGCAGCCGCGGUAAUACGGAGGGUCCGAGCGUUAUCCGGAAUCAUUGGGUUUAAAGGGUCCGCAGGCGGUCUAUUAAGUCAGAGGUGAAAUCCCAUAGCUCAACUAUGGAACUGCCUUUGAUACUGGUUGACUUGAGUCAUAUGGAAGUAGAUAGAAUGUGUGGUGUAGCGGUGAAAUGCAUAGAGAUCACACAGAAUACCGAUUGCGAAGGCAGAUUACUAACAAUAUACUGACGCUGAGGGACGAAAGCGUGGUAGCGAACAGGAUUAGAUACCCUGGUAGUA